rnacentral:rRNA from 1 species
GAUGAACGCUAGCUACAGGCUUAACACAUGCAAGUCGAGGGACAGGAGCACGGGUGAGUAACACGUAUCCAACCUGCCCUUUACUCGGGGAUAGCCUUUCGAAAGAAAGAUUAAUACCCGAUAUAAAGGAUGGGGAUGGGUUCCAUUAGGUUGUUGGUGAGGUAACGGCUCAACAAGCCUUCGAUGGCUAGGGGUGCUGAGAGGAAGGUCCACCAGCAUGGAGCUGGGACCCGGUCCAAACUCCUACGGGAGGCAGCAGUGAGGAAUAUUGGUCAAUGUGCGCUAGCCUGAACCAGCCAAGUAGCGUGAAGGAUGAAGGCGUAUGGGUCGUAAUCUUCUUUUAUAUAAGAAUAUGUAUUAUAUGAAUAAGGAUCGGCUAACUCCGUGCCAGCAGCCGCGGUAAUUC